rnacentral:rRNA from 1 species
AGAUUGAACGCUAGUCGGCAUGCCUAACACAUGCAAGUCGAACGGUAACAGGCCCUUCGGGGUGCUGACGAGUGGCGGACGGGUGAGUAAUGCGUAGGAAUCUACCCACGAGUGGGGGAUAGCCCGGAGAAAUCCGGAUUAAUACCGUCAUAUGCCCUACGGGGUAAAGCGGGGGAUCGUAAGACCUCGCGCUGGUGGAUGAGCCUACGUACCGAUUAGUUAGUUGGUGGGGUAAAGGCCGUACCAAGGCGUACGACUCGGUAGCUGGUCUGAGAGGAUGAGUCAGCCGACACUGGGACUGAGACAGGCCCAGACUCCUACGGGAGGCAGC